rnacentral:rRNA from 1 species
AUUCCAGCUCCAAUAGCGUAUAUUAAAGUUGUUGCAGUUAAAACGCUCGUAGUCGGAUUUCGGGGCGGGCCGACCGGUCUGCCGAUGGGUAUGCACUGGCCGGCGCGUCCUUCCACCCGGAGACCGCGCCUACUCUUAACUGAGCGGGCGCGGGAGACGGGUCUUUUACUUUGAAAAAAUCAGAGUGUUUCAAGCAGGCAGUCGCUCUUGCAUGGAUUAGCAUGGGAUAAUGAAAUAGGACUCUGGUGCUAUUUUGUUGGUUUCGAACACCGGAGUAAUGAUUAAUAGGGACAGUUGGGGGCAUUAGUAUUUAAUUGUCAGAGGUGAAAUUCUUGGAUUUAUUAAAGACUAACUUAUGCGAAAGCAUUUGCCAAGGAUGUUUUCAUCA